CAGAGAGUCAGACAUGACUGAGCGACUGACCAACAACCCUGCUGGGUGAGGCUGGUCUGGAGGCUUGUGCCUGCACAGUGGUGGUUAGAACUGGGUUUUGACCCUUUUGUGGGUAAAGUCACGUCGAAAGGCAUGUGUACAUGAAGGCUUUGGACAGCCUGUCUGCUGAUGGUUAGGGCUGCAUCUUGGCCCUUUCAUCAUUUGGCCUUAGGGGGCCCAUUGCUGUAGCCUACAGGUUCUGAGUGGAGCCAGUGUUGGGCCAAGAUGGAGACCUCAUGCAGAUGAGUGCUGUCUCAUAGUUCUGCCCUCAGGAUCUGUGUCCCCACAGUGAGCCACAGCCCACCCCCCACCCCUCAGAGAUCCUUCAAGACCAGCAGGCAGGUCUCACCAUCCAGGAUCCUAGCAAACAGUUGUAUUUUGACCUUCAUCUCAGCUUCAUCUCAGUGUGCAUGAGGCUUCAUUUGCACCUGUUAAGAGUGAAGUCUCUUGUUUUCCCCAUUCCUGUGGGGCUCCUGCAGUCAGGGCCCACUGGUCUUCAGAAGUAAAUGUUAAAGAUUUCUUUGGCCUUAUUCAUUGAUUCGUGGGUUGGCCAGCAUCCCACCUGGUAAAUAAACAGGUGCUCCUAGAAGCUGUCUGUCCUCUUUACACCAAGGUGUAUAUGAAUCAGUGGGUUGUUUUUAAACUUUCGUGACCUGAAUAUGCUCAUAAGUGCCAUGAUGUGUACAAAGUAGGUGCAGCAUAAACAUGAAGAAGCUGAGUUUCUUUCGGAGUGGGGUUUACUUCCAUGAAAAAGCUGAAAUGGCAAAAUGGUGAAAUGAAAUGCUUAAUUUGGGAGUUGGCUGUGCUCAGGUGCUUGAAAGUGAAGUGAGUAGAGUUGAACAAGCACACAAUGGAGGGAAUGAGUAUGGAUUUCAAUUGUAUUUUGUAACAGGGAAAUAGUCUCCAGUGCCAAAUGCCUGCAAGCCAUCCUGCCAUUUCUCAGUGUUGUGUUCACAUUCAGAGCCCGAAGAUCUUGCCGAGAAAAUGAAGGAACUUUAAUGGAACAAAAAUCACCCCAUCCCAGGAAGUGACUGAAUUGGAGCUUGAAUCCACGUCUCACCUCAAAGAUCUCUUCACCAUGUUGCUACACUGUGGCCCAGGUUGUUGGCAUGGCUACAGUAAUUCUUGUUGCAGUUGACAGGGCCGAGGUGCAGGCAGGCACAAAGCGUGGGAAAAGUCAGCUUGUCGCAGUUGUAUUUCUGGGGGAACAGCUGAGGGGAGGCUCCCUGAGGUGGCACCUCAGGCAGCAGACCAAGUGCAGGUGGACUCUCUGCAUAUAGUAAUUCUGAGAGAGUAGGGCUAUUCACCAGCUCUGUGCCCACAACAGUCAAAUGCUGCUGGUCAGUUAGGAUAACCUCAGUGUAUUAACAAAGAUCUGUUGGAAGAACUUAAAAGAAAAACCUGAACAAAACUGUUUGGCCAGUCCACUAUAUAUCUGUGUCCAGUGGGCUGCCUCCCAGAAGAAAAAGACAAGGAAUAAACAUUUCAUUAAUGUA